CAACUAUGACAUUCUGGAAAAGGCAAAACUGUGGAGACAGUAAAAAGAUCAGUGGCUGCCAGUGGUUGCAGAGGGAGCGAUGAAUAGGCGGAGCACAGGGAAUUUUUAGGGCAGUGAAAAUACUCGGCAGGAUACUAUAAUGAUGACUAUACGUCAUUAUGCAUUCGUCCAAACCCACAGAAUGUACAACACCAAGAGUGAGCCCCACGGUAAACCACCACCUUUGAGUGAUUGCGGUGUGUCAGUGUAGGUUCAUCAAUUGUCACAAAUUCUGUACCAUUCUGGUGGGGGAUGUUGAUAAUGGGGGAGGCUACAUGCUCUGGGGAUAGGGGAAUAUGGGAAACCUCUUUACCUUCCUCUCAAUUUUGUUGUAAACCUAAAACUGCUCUAAAAAAACUUGUCUUUAAAAAAAAAUUCGAAUCUAAUGUAUUUAUUCCUUCAAAGGCUGUGCAAAGAAAUGCUUCAAUAUAGAAAAUGCUCUUGUCCCUUAAGAGGUAGUAUGUAAGGUUUUUCUCCCAGUUGUAGGCCCCUGUGGUUCAUAAGUGAAAACAGUCUUCUAAAAACUAAACUAUUGCCACGGCUAGUUUUGAGAUCAGACCAGCCUGGAAUGCGUUCCGCCCACAGCCAGAAACAAAACUAAAGAAAUUUAUGACAUUUUUGUUACAUAACUAAAGGAAACUAUAUAAAAAAUUAAUCUUUUUCAGAUAAUAAAAGGAAUUCUUCUAAUGGGUAAUCCUUUUUCAUUUUUGUACCCUGAGUAUUUUACAUAUUCUCACGGCCCCCAGAUAAGAAACUAAAAAAAAUCGUAACUUAAAAAAAGAACAAAAGGGAAAAUAUUGGUUGUGAGUAGGCAACUUUUGGGGACUUCUUGUGAAAGAUUAGAUGACAAGCUAAGCUAGGAGGCAUUCAAGUGCUUCCUGUUAAAAUUCACACACUGAAAUCUUCCAUAGAAUCACACUGGAGAUACAAGGACAAAAUGGACAAAUUACAGACUAUUUCCCCAACUGUGAAGAUGAUUAAUGCGCUAAGAAAUUCCCUAAAAUUCAUUGGCAUGGCUAGUCUGUAGCUGUUAAGUGAGGCUCCUUUCAGUGCCAGAAUAUCCCCGAAGGACCACAAGUCACUGCCCCCGGACUUCAAAAUGACUCCACAUUUUCUGAUUGGGACUGAGGGAAACAGUCUGUGGCAGCUUGUUUGACAUGAUCACACCGGUACCUAAACCGAUUCUGGGUGCUUGAGAAUGAAUGAGCCAUGGGUCUCCCUUUCUUUUCUGGUUUUGAUUAGAAAGGACGUCUCUAUGGGGGAGCAGGGGAGGAGGAGGUAUGGGCUGGGUGCUAAUUCUUUGAGGUGGGGGAAGAGGCCAGCAAUGUGUACUCGCUACAUCUGCAAGGGAGUGGGGAUGAAUAACAAAAAACAAUAUAGCCAUCAUGUAUUGAGUGCUUACUGUAUACACGUUAGCAGUUAGGCAAGGCUCCAAAUUACCUUCCACACAAUAACAGCCCUCACAACAACCUUAAGAGGAAGCACUAUUAUUACUAUCCCCAUUUUACAGAUUACAAAACUGAGCCUCAGCGAGAAGGGACUUGCCCAAAUUUACACUGCUAGUAAGGAAGAGAGGCAGGAUUUGAACCCAGACAGUGUGGUUCCAGAAAAGAAUAAGCUGUGGGGUGGUGAGGGCAGAAGAUAUAGAAUCUAUACCAGCCCUAUCCGACAAAAGUUUCUGGGAUUACGGAAACAUUCGCUACCUGUGCUGUCCAAUACAGCAGCCACUAGCCACACAUGAAAUUGGCUGGUAAGACUGAGCAACUGAACUUUUAAUUGGAUUUAAUUUUCGUUCAUUUAAAUUAAGAUGUAAAUAGUCACAUGUGGCUAGUGGCUCCUGUAUUGGACAGCACGGUCUAUACCACAGAAAGAGUCCGUGCUGAUGACCGGUGAACCACGAAGCUCUUGGGACGGCUUCCCCAGCCAGCUCCAACAGUUGUAGACUGUGCCCUACACAAGGGCAUCGACUGAGGGCUGAGGACCAGCCCAAGCACCAUCUGCUGUCGGCUUUGGCAAGACACUGCAUGGGCAGUAAGAGGAAUAAUUCAACCCAGAAGAAGAAUGUUUUCUUAAAUUUUUUUUUGUAAUUCAUUCACCCAGCGGGGGUGCUCAUUUUGCAAUUUGCUCUAAAAUGUGGUUUGUGCUAGUGUGUACCCCGAGGCACUUCCCUAUUUUUGUCUUAUAAGAACUCCAAGGACUAGGCUACCAUCUCCUCCAGCACCACGCUGAUUCCUGGACCUGGGUUACUUUCCUGCACAGUCUGCCAUGGAAUGAGACUCAGUUUUAAGACUCCCUCCCUUCCUUUCCCUGUCCCUUCUGUAGACACAGCUAUUUACAGGUUUUCCCUGUGAUUUUGCCAAUAAGGCCUCCAGGGGAAGCAGGAGGAGUUAAGACAUAAUAAACACAGAGAUGCCACCAACUUUUCAGACACCCUGAAAGCCUGCAGAACAGCUCUCCCGAGACUUCAGUGCAACGGCGUCAGAGCCGGGCUGCUCCUUUUAAGGCUCAGUUCUCUGGCCUCUUCACUAGCAAGUCCUUGGGGAGACAGACCGACUCAACCCUUCUCUCUCUUUAUUCCUGAACCAUAACGCUCCUGAGUUGCUUGUCCUUCCUUAAGUCCUCACCCCAGUCCCUGUUCUCUAGCUUUGGAUCCUACCAAACAUUUGAAACUUAUUUCUGGAGUACCUAUCAUGUGUCAGGCACCGGGGGAAACAAGACACAGUCCCUGCUCUCAAGGGAGACUGCAGCCUGGGGAGAGCUACCACUAAGUAAACAGGAAAUAACAACGCAACAAUGUGCUGAGUACCAUGACAUGGGAAAGUGCAAAGUACUGUGGGCACGUAACUAGACUUGAGAGGUCAAGGAAGGCUUUCUGGAAAGAAAACCGUGUCUGAGCCAAGAUAAGGCAGAGAAGAGGCAUCCAAGCGAAAGGGCAAGCUUCAGAAGUCCCACACAGGGCGCUCCACACUCCAGUCUCUCAGAAGCAGUUUGAAUGACCAAAGCAAGGGGACAAGGCCACGUGGAGAACAGAUUGCCAAGGCAAGAUCUCCUGCUUCCCCGCCAUGGUAUCACACUGACUGAACCUGCCCACUCCCGCAACGCCCUGCCUCCAUCUGUGUGCUCCAUCCUUUGCAUCAGAGCCUGCCAGGCUCUCCCUGCCACCACCCCAGGCCCCACCUGAACUUCUCGUGAGGGUCUGUCCAGCCCUCCGCAACAGCACCCAUCACACACUCUUAUUUUCAUACAGGUCAUUGUGUGGGGCACUGUCUUCCCCUCUACAUUUUAAGCUUCAGGAGCAAAGAGAUGCAUUCCUUAUCUCUGCUGCCCGUUCAGUGCUUUACCUGCAAUGUGUGCUAAAUAAAGUUUUAUUGAAUUGAAUUGAUUAAUCUGGUCCUUUCUUCCUUGUUCUGUUGCUAAUAAUUCUAGGCUCUAAAGGAAAAGAAAUGACUAAAGAUUAAUUUAUAAAUUUAACAAAUUUUGUAGAUAAAAUCACGAAUAUCAAAUACAAAUUAUUUUGUGGGGCGCUAAACUACCUUUUAAAUUGGGCUUGAUAUAAUUUCCCUUUUUAAAGGUAGACACCAAUCACUCGUACAUUGCUGAUGGGAAUGUAAAACAACACAGCCACUCUAGAAAAUAGUUUGGCAGUUUUUUAUAAGACUAAAUAUGCGAUUAGCAUAUGAUGCUGCAAUUGCACUCUUGGGCAUUUAUUCCAGAAAAUGAAAAGUUAUGUUCACAUAAAAGCUGAACAUGAAUACGGGACCGGAUCCAUGGCUGAGUGGUUAAAAUUCUGUGUAUUCCACUUUGGCAGCCUGGGUUCAAGGGUUCAUGGCUUUGGAUCCCAGGCACGGACCUACUCCACUCGUCAGCCAUGCUGUGGUGGUGUCCCACAUACAAAAUAGAGGAAGACUGGCAUAGAGGUUAGCUCUCAGGACAAGUCUUCCUCGAGCAAAAAAAAAAAAAAA